AAUUCUCAAAACCCUUUUCUUUGACCCUUGGUCGAGAAGAGGGUUUUGGACUUGGAGGUUCAAUGCUCGCUUUCGGGUCUCGAAAGUGAGCUCCUCUCAAAUGAAUUAGUGGGGUCUGCUUUGCUAGUCCUUGACGUGAUAAGAUGUUUCGACGUUUUGGACUCGGCACUGUCUCUUGGAUGCCUGCUUCUAACUGUCCGUCUCGUGGACAACGAUGGUGCUCUGGUCUCCUCCAUCCACAAUGGUGGGAGGCUGGACCCACAAAUAAAAA
rnacentral:misc_RNA from 1 species